rnacentral:rRNA from 1 species
GACGAACGCUGGCGGCGUGCUUAACACAUGCAAGUCGAACGGUGAAGCGCCUUCCUUUUUGGUGGGUGUGGAUGAGUGGCGAACGGGUGAGUAACACGUGAGUAACCUGCCCCCUUCUUCUGGAUAACCGCAUGAAAGUGUGGCUAAUACGGGAUAUUCUGGGCCUGUCGCAUGAUGGGUCUGGGAAAGAUAUUGUUUCGGUGGGGGAUGGGCUCGCGGCCUAUCAGCUUGUUGGUGGGGUGAUGGCCUACCAAGGCGGUGACGGGUAGCCGGCCUGAGAGGGUGGACGGUCACACUGGGACUGAGACACGGCCCAGACUCCUACGGGAGGCAGCAGUGGGGAAUAUUGCACAAUGGGCGCAAGCCUGAUGCAGCGACGCCGCGUGAGGGAUGGAGGCCUUCGGGUUGUGAACCUCUUUCGCCAGUGAAGCAGGCCUGCCCCGUUUGUGGGUGGGUUGACGGUAGCUGGAUAAGAAGCGCCGGCUAACUACGUG